AAGUCGUAACAAGGUUUCCGUAGGUGAACCUGCGGAAGGAUCAUUACAACGUAUCCACGUACAAACCAGUGAACUGUUCCCAACAGAGUGUCGCGGUGCAAGCGAUUUUUUCGCCUGCAUUCCUGGGCUAAUGGCUUCCAAAACCCUGCUGAUGGAGUUUCUUGACCUUUGUCUCGAAACUAGGGUUUGGUCGCCGCCAAAGCGUUCUCGCUUCGGGGCCUGCGCGCCUCUGUUCGGUUGUUUACCAUCGGCUGGUGAAACCCUUAUUAACCCUAUGCAACCUUUGAUCUGAUCUAUUCUGUCUGAUGCGCUCAAGUCCUUGCUGGCUUCGGUCACGGACUUUGCGUCGGCGGAAAAUCGUAUGAAACUGAGAACAACUCUUAACAACGGAUAUCUUGGUUCCC
rnacentral:misc_RNA from 1 species